rnacentral:rRNA from 1 species
GAUGAACGCUAGCGGGAGGCUUAACACAUGCAAGUCGAGGGGCAGCAUAGGGUAGCAAUACUCUGAUGGCGACCGGCAAACGGGUGAGUAACGCGUAUGCAACCUACCCUGUACAGGGGGAUAACCCGGAGAAAUUCGGACUAAUAUCCCGUAAUAAUAUCCGGAGGCAUCUUUGGAUAUUUAAAGUUCCGACGGUACGGGAUGGGCAUGCGUAACAUUAGCUGGUUGGUAAGGUAACGGCUUACCAAGGCUACGAUGGGUAGGGGUUCUGAGAGGAAAGCCCCCCAACUGGUACUGAGACACGGACCAGACUCCUACGGGAGGCAGCAGUAAGGAAUAUUGGGCAAUGGUCGAAAGCUGACCCAGCCAUGCCGCGUGCAGGAUGAAGGCCCUAUGGGUUGUAAACUGCUUUUAGCCGGGAAUAAACACCCGUUUUAUAACGGGCCCGAAGGUACCGGCUGAAUAAGCAUCGGCUAACUCCGUGCCAGCAGCCGACGGUAAAAGUGUGUGUA